UUUAAGAGCAUCUUUGGUGCGUCAGCCAGCGAUCAAUGCUUUACGUACAAUGAAAUAUUUCAAAUCCUAUAAACCCAAUUAUCUUCAUUUUUGUUAGUCUGCAAAAGGAAGCUCUGAAAUUAGAAGAGGAAGUUAGAAGCAGUGAAGUUAGAAGAGGAAGCUUCUAACUGAAAUGGAGGCAACACCCCCAAGGUAAUGUGGCUGACAAGUGGUCAAGGCUGGAACGCCAUUCUGGAUCUAUCUACGGAGUCUGUGCUCUUAGGGCAAGGGAAAAAAUCAUAAAAGUGAAAUUGCAAGGUUAAAGGGAAGGCACCUGAGAAAAGACCAAUUUGUAGAUUAUAGGAUAUCUUGUAUACAGAAAGUGCACAUAUGAGAAAUGGACAGUUUGAUCAAGUAUCUCAAAGGGAACAUAUUUGUGUAAAUACUACCCAAAGCAAGAAAUAGAAAAAUGAUCAUCUAGGGACACAGUGCUCCUCACCACUCUGGCUGACCCGAAGAGACCCAAGGAAGUGGCCAAGGGUAUGAAGGAGCUGGAGGUGGGAAGUGAGUGGUGCCCCAGCGCUGGCUGGCAAGUGGUGUGGGCCUGGGGAAACUGAGUCAAGGUCCAGAGUUGGCCUCUUUCUAUGGAUGUGUGAGUGCCAGCAUAUAAAAAUACGUUUUUAG